AGGACGAACGCUGGCGGCGCGCCUAAAACAUGCAAGUCGAACGUGAAGCCCGGAGCUUGCUCUGGGUGGAAAGUGGCGAACGGGUGAGGAACACGUGAGAAACCUGCCCUGGAGACCGGGAUAACACCGGGAAACCGGUGCUAAUACCGGAUGCCCUCAUCGGACCGCAUGAUCCGAUGAGGAAAUGGAUUCCGCUCCAGGAUGGUCUCGCGGCCUAUCAGCUUGUUGGUGAGGUAACGGCUCACCAAGGCUUCGACGGGUAGCUGGUCUGAGAGGAUGUCCAGCCACACUGGGACUGAGACACGGCCCAGACUCCUACGGGAGGCAGCAGUUAGGAAUCUUGCGCAAGUGGGACGAAAGCCUGACGCAGCGACGCCGCGUGCGGGAUGGACGUCCGUUCGGUUCGUAACCGUUCCUUCCCCGUGCCGACGAGACGAAGU
rnacentral:rRNA from 1 species